UAAGAUCUAGAGUGCAAGUCUAUUCUCCUUCCCAGAACUACUGAGAAAAGUGAUUCUACAACACCCUUAGUGUGCUUGACUCAAUAAUGGAAAUGACAUGAUUCCCCAGUAUGUAUGAGAGAGUUGGACAGCAGCCUAGGUUAUAAAAAUGCAAAUUAAGAUUAUGUGAUUGGAGAGUUAAUUGGUUUCCUAGUGACUCUGAAGAAUACAGAGUGUCCUUGAGUGUUUCAGUUGGAAGGGUCCUACCCACAAAAGGGAAAUGACUUCCACUGAAGAUCACACAGCAAACUAGAGGAGGGCUGGAACCCUGCCUCCAGAUUCCCCUGAAUCUUUCAUCUGUCCUGAAGAGAACACAGCAUCCAAGUUGCCAUCUUGGAAGCAGAGUCCGGUUCUCACCAGACACAGAGACUGUUGGCACCUUGAUCUUGGACUUCCCAGCCUCCAGAACUGAGAGAAGAAGCCAGUGCGAGGCUGAGAGGCCACCUGGAGAACCAAGCUGCUCCAGCGGACACACAGCACCAACUGCCAGCCAUGAGUGAGACCAUUUUAGAUCUUCCAGCUCAGUUAAGCUCCAGCUGAAAGCAACCCGCACACAUGAGCCCUGUAUCAGAUUUUUGAGGUUUAUCCAUGUUGGUGCAGGAGGAAAAACACUGGAAUCUGCUCUUGGAAAAGUGAAAUGCUCACCCUCUUGGAGUCAAUCACAGGAAUCAGGAUCAUCCAAGGGAACAAUGGAAUCAUUAUGACCUAUUUCACACUCACUCCAGAGCAGACACAAAGUCAGCUUCCCCUUAUCUCUCUCUCCCCUCCCCUUCUCUCCCUUCCUUAAAUGUGUGCACAUGAGCUCAUUAUACUGUAAUGCUGUCUUACAUUACAAAGCAGAAGUCAGAGUCUAUAUUGUAUAGCUCAGUAUUGUCCAACUGAAAUGUAAUGUGAGUCAUAUGUAUAAUUUUAAAUGUCCUAUUCUAAAAAGUUUAGUCAUGUUCUAAAAAGUGAAAAGAAAUAGAUAAAUGAACUUUUAUAUUUUUCAUUUGACCCAAUAUGUCUAAAAUAUUAUCCAAAUGUAUUACACAUUCAACAUGUAAUCAGUAUAAAAUUAUUAAUGAGAUUGAUUAUUUUUUUCAUUUGAAGUAUUCAAAAUCUGAUAUGUAUCUUACUGUUAUUAUCCUCAAGUUAAUUUGGAUUAAUCGCAUGUCAAGAGCUCAGUAGUCACAGGUGACUGAUAGCUACAAUUUUCGCACAGAAGGCCUUAAAAAUCUAACCUGAAAACACACACUGAGCAGAUCUUGGCAUCCAGUCUUCACAUUGGUAAUUGAACAUUGUGAGGAGUUUGACUCUUCUAUGAGACUAGAAGGGUCUGUGCAGAGGUGUGUCCAGGGCUAUUGGGAUGGUUUAAUUGAAGCAGCACCUGCUGGGUUGGCCAGUCUGGCAGGAGGCUCCAGCACCAUCAGCCUUUACAUAAUCUAGGGAAGGUCACUUAACCUUCUAAACUCUUAGUUUUUCUCUAUAUGAGGGUGAGCCCCUGUGGCGCUGACAAUAUUGCUGGUUCCAUCUUCCACUGCCAAUCUGACUUGGGGUUAAGGAUAGUGGCUGGUGUUCCACCGAGGGAUGAGCUGCUAUUUGUCUUCCUAACAUAGAGAACCAGAGAGCUUUUCAUUAGAAACAGACUCCUACAUAGUCCUAGGGAGCCUGAGUGUAAACCUUUGUUCUUUGAGGAGGACCUUGACUCUGCCCAAGGCCAGACUGGCACCAUAGAAGUCCACAGUCAGAAAGAACCACAAACCAACUCCCCUGGGUGGCAUGGUCUAGGCAGCGCUUUAUUUAGAUAAUCCACAUAGAGAUGCCACAGUUUGGUCUGGGCAUAUGAUUAUAUGGUUUUCAUGCCAUGUAGCCUUACAGGAAAUCAAGAGUGCUGACAAAACCCGGGUUUACACCAAAUUCACUGUGCUCUGACUCAGUUUCCCUUUUUAUCAACAAGGUAGUAUAAUUAGUACUUAUGAUGUAGGCAUAAUGAUUCUAUCCUGGUUCCCAAGUCCUUUCUUAAAGAAACACAAAACUCUAAGGAAAGCUUUCUUCCUAACACAACAGUCAGGAGGGGCCACUUGUCAGGGCAUUCAGGUCCUAGGAUCCUGGCAAAUUGUCAUUGGAAAUAAACCUGAAAUAACAUGGUCCUAUAUCUUCUUGUAUUAUCUUUUUAAAUAGACACAGCACCACCUAAUGACCUCCUUUCCUGAUGGGCAUGGUGGUAUGCAUCUGCAGUCCCAGCAAAUCCAAGGCUGAGGCAGGAGGAUCACUUGAGCCCAGGAAUGUGGGGCCAGCCUGGGGAACACAGCAAGACCCUGUCUCUUAAAACAAACAAACACAAUACAAAAGUUAGUUUCUUUCUGAGAGCUCUGGAAUAUUUUUGGUUUCACUCUUCAGUGUCGUGAGAUUUAUUUUCAGGUAUUACUUUUAAUUUCAAAAGCGAUUUAUAACUCGAUUUAAUUUUAAAAGUUUCAUACACACACGCGCAUGUGCGUGCGCACACACACACACACACACACACACACCUAGAACAAAUUCAUAUACUACAAAAGGGUAUUUAAUAAAAAGUAAAUGUCUACCUCAUUUUAGCCAAAUACCAACACGUUCCCAGUUUGCUGAGUAUCAUUUUAGAGCUAUUCUAUGCAUAAAACAUGUAUUUUCAGACUUUUUUUUAAAAAAGAUGUGCUGUUUAAUUUUAAAGCUACUUUAACUCAAGACAAGGUAAAAAGGUAGGGAACUGUGGAUUAAAAAAGAAAAGGGCCUGGGGUAUAAUUGUUUUAAAUGAUGUGUUGAUGUGUUGAGUUUAAAAAUAUUUUGAUGCGUUCCAAUGCAUGGAAAACAAGAUGCUGUGAAUCAUUGUCUUGAAUAAACUGUCC